rnacentral:piRNA from 1 species
ACAAGGACAUACGAUGGGACCU